rnacentral:rRNA from 1 species
GCUUAACGCAUGCAAGUCGAGCGAUGAGUGCUCCCUUCGGGGAGUACAUCAGCGGCAGACGGGUGAGUAACACGUAGAUAACCUGCCCUCAAGACGGGGACAACCGGUGGAAACAGCGGCUAAUACCCGAUAUGCUCACAGGAUCGGGAGAUCGAGUGGGGAAAGCGCCCCUUCGGGGGAGAGUGUUUGAGGAGGGAUCUGCGGCCCAUCAGCUAGUUGGUGAGGUAACGGCUCACCAAGGCGAAGACGGGUAGGGGGUGUGAGAGCAUGGCCCCCCACAAUGGGACUGAGACACGGCCCAUACUCCUACGGGGGGCAGCAGCGGGGAAUAUUGCGCAAUGGACGGAAGUCAGACGCAGCGACGCCGCGUGGGUGAGGAAGGCCUUCGGGUUGUAAAGCCCUUUUCAGGGGAGCGAGAAAGAACGGUACCCUUGGAAUAAGCGUCGGCUAACUACGUGCCAGCAGCCGCGGUAAGACGUAGGACGCAAGCGUUAUCCGGAUUUACUGGGCGUAAAGCGCCUGUAGGCGGUCAAGUAAGUUGGAUGUGAAAGCCCCGUGCUCAACGCGGGGAAGCCAUUCGAUACUGCGUGACUAGAGAACGGCAGAGGGAAACGGAAUUUCUGGUGUAGCGGUAAAAUGCGCAGAGAUCAGAAAGAACACCGAUGGCGAAGGCAGUUUCCCUAGGCCGCAUCUUGACGCUGAGAGGCGAAAGCUAGGGGAGCAAACAGGAUUUAGAGACCCUGGUAGUCCUAGCUGUAAACGAUGGAUGCUAGGUGUGGGCCGGAAAGGUCCGUGCCGUAGUUAACGCGAUAAGCAUCCCGCCUGGGGAAGUACGGCCGCAANA